rnacentral:rRNA from 1 species
AGAGUUUGAUCCUGGCUCAGAACGAACGCUGGCGGCAGGCUUAACACAUGCAAGUCGAGCGGGCACUUCGGUGUCAGCGGCGGACGGGUGAGUAACGCGUGGGAACCUUUCCAUGGGUAAGGGAUAACUUGGGGAAACUCGGGCUAAUACCUUAUGAGCCCCGUAAGGGGGAAAGAUUUAUCGCCGAUGGGUGGGCCCGC